AAUUAAUAUAGAAACCUGGCUCUGAUACCAAUUGUUGGACCCUAGAGGGGGGGUGAUUAGGGUCAAGAGGCUCUAAUAUGCAA
rnacentral:pre_miRNA from 1 species